AGGACGAACGCUGGCGGCGUGCUUAACACAUGCAAGUCGAGCGGUGAUCCUCCUUCGGGAGGUGAUCAGCGGCGAACGGGUGAGUAACACGUGGGCAACCUGCCCCUCACACUGGGAUAAACCUCGGGAAACCGGGGCUAAUACCGGAUACGACCUCGAGCGGCAUCUCUUGAGGUGGAAAGCUCCGACGGUGAGGGAUGGGCCCGCGGCCUAUCAGCUUGUUGGUGGGUAAUGGCCUACAAGGCGACGACGGGUA
rnacentral:rRNA from 1 species